UAGCUUCAAAGGUGCUGGUAGUGAAACACUGUAAUGUUAUGUUCCUAGAGAGGAACUACUACAGAAUUACUACUGUAUUACUAGCCUACUACUGUAUUCUAGAACCCACAUUACCUUCCCUUUACUGCAUAUCAAGCAGGUUAUCAGGUUAUAAACAGCAUGUCCUAUACUUUCACUCAUGGUGUAUUUCUUGUCUCUUGUCCAACCCAUCCUCACUAACAGCCUAGAGUGGAGGAGAAGCGUGAUUUCCUGUUUGGGGUUCUCUAUGGGAUGGCCCUGUACAACAACAACAUGGUGCACUUCCCCUUCACCAUGGCAUUCUUCAAGAAGCUGGUGAACAUCAAGCCCUCUUUAGAGGACUUGAGAGAGUUUAGCCCCAUUGAAGCAGGGUGAUGUGGGGUGACAUAGCGGUGGACCUCGUCACAAGUGCUAACAAGCAAGAUUAUAGCAAUAUUUACAACUGACAAAAUACAAGGAAGGAGUUUGUUGACACCUAUGUGAACUACAUCUUCAACCAGUCAAUAGAGAAGGUGUUUGAAGAGUUCAGGAAAAGCUUCUUCAAGGUGUGUGACAUGGACGUGGUGGAGUUCUACCAGCCAGAGGAACUGAGGAGAGUGUUGGGGAAGGAGAACGUCGACUGGGAAACGCUGAAACAGGUCAGAACCAUGUGUUGUUACUACAUGACUGAAGCUCAGUCCCAACUCUGUCCCUAGCCAAUUGUCUUCAUCUGAGAGCAUUAGACAAGUAAAAACAUAUAAGAUAUGGUGAAAAUGUCACCUAGCCUGUCAGAGAGCAAGAAGGAGCCUAAAAAAAACAAGUGUCCUUGGGGUUGAUUUGAGAUUCAUGGUGAACAUGUUCUGUGUAACACAUUCUGCAACCUGGCUAAAAUGUUGUUUUUAAUACAUUGAUUUGACAAAUGGUUUGAAUCGUGUCAAGUGUCUAUUGCUUCACCAUAUUAUGGGCAUCCCAACAUCAUCACACUCUGGGAGGUGUUUGAGGAACUGACAGGAGAUUAAAAGAACGCUUUCAUGUGUAAGUGUGCAACAUUUUCAUUAUAACAGAUGAACACAUAAGUAGGCUACUGAGAAUUUAAGUUAUAUUAUGUCAUUUACUGCCCUUCCCUCUUUUACCACCUGUGAUCGUGUGCCCAUCCUGGGUAUGAACCAGACCAGGAAGAGGGUCCAAACCCUUCUCAACUCCUCCCAAAAGCAUUUCCCAGAGGCACUGACCUGUCACUCUUUGUUGCAGCUUCCCAUAUACCCCUUCAAAGAGACACUACAGAGCCAGCUUAUAGAGCCACAACAGAGGCUUCUGGAAUGAAUAAGGGUGUAUAAUGUUGCUGCUCUAUUUUACACACCUCUCCUGUGUUCAUCUUUUCAUUGUUCCAUAGUUGGGUUUAAGAUUUGGAUUGUUUUAAUGUAGGGUUAAUCUUAACUUCAUCUGUGCGGCACUGUGUCAUUUGUGUGUAAUCAUAUAGCAUUCACAUUUUAUUAAAAACAUUUUUAAAUCAAAAAGUACAGAAUGGUUCAUGCCUGCACAUUAAACAACACUAACAAAAAUCACAACAACCAAGAAA